CUACGGGGGGCAGCAGUGGGGAAUAUUGGACAAUGGGGGAAACCCUGAUCCAGCAAUGCCGCGUGUGUGAAGAAGGCCUGCGGGUUGUAAAGCACUUUCGGUUGGGAGGACUGCUUCUAGCACUAAUAUUGUUGGAAGUUGACGUUACCUUCAGAAGAAGCACCGGCUAACUCCGUGCCAGCAGCCGCGGUAAUACGGGGGGUGCAAGCGUUAAUCGGAAUUACUGGGCGUAAAGCGCGCGUAGGCGGCUAGAUCAGUCGGGUGUGAAAGCCCCGGGCUUAACCUGGGAACUGCAUCCGAUACUGUCUAGCUUGAGUACAGGAGAGGAGAGUGGAAUUCCACAUGUAGCGGUGAAAUGCGUAGAUAUGUGGAGGAACACCAAUGGCGAAGGCAGCUCUCUGGCCUGAUACUGACGUUGAGGUGCGAAAGCGUGGGGAGCAAACAGGAUUAGAUACCCGCGUAGUC
rnacentral:rRNA from 1 species